rnacentral:rRNA from 1 species
GGACUACUGGGGUAUCUAAUCCGUCUUGCUCCCCACGCUUUCGUGCCUCAACGUCAGGAACCGAAUAGUUAACUGCCUUCGCCGAUUGGUGUUCAGCCAUAUAUCUAUGCAUUUUACCGUUCCACAUGGAGUUCCGUUAACCUCUCCGGCCCUCGAGUUGAAUAGUAUUACGGACUUCCACGGGGUUGAGCCCCGAUUUGCCACCCAUAACUUAUUCAACCACCUACGCACUCUUUACGCCCAGUAAUUCCGGAUAACGUUCGCCACCCAUGUCUUACCGCGGCGGCUGGCAC